UCCCAAGAGGAGUGGCCAGAAACAGGA
rnacentral:piRNA from 1 species